GAUUCUGAAAUAACAUAAGUUUUGAUUCGUUUGAGUUCUUUUAACUUUUAAUUUUUUUUAUUGCUAUAAAGAACAUACGACCGGGCAGAUAUUACAAGGUAAAUGUCGCGAAAAAAAAGUAAUUAUAUAUAUACUUUUCUUUUACCUAUAAUACUUACAUAAACUAACUGAUAAACACAUUAACCUUCUUUACAUCACGCAAUUAAGUGAUAGUAUAGGCUAAAAAAUCUAUUAUAAGAUAUCAGUGACAACCCUAACAAGCCAUCCCUAUUUUGUCUUUUGGCGUUCCAAUUUUGUGUUUUCUCGUCCCUAAUUUUUCCAGUCUCGUUCCCAAUUACCCUACAUACGUCCCAAUUUUCCCCAAAAAGAAAGGAAAAAAUAUACAUUUUUUAUUUUGUCGAAAUAUUGUAUUUAAAAUAAGAAUAUUACAACUUACCGUUUGUUGUGGUAUUUCCAGGUGUAUUAAAAACUUAUAUAAACUGUGAUCUUAUUAAAAAAACAACGAUAACAUUACUUUUUUUAAAAGUUCUGUAAGCUGUUUUAAAACGCACUUUUCAACCACUAUUUUCAAUUUAAUUUGACGAAUUUUUGGGACCAACUUAACUCAUAUUUAGUACUUCCAUAGUUAGCUUGGUUUUUCUUCUAUACAUUGAUAAAUAUUAACAUAAACAAAAUUAGGUAGACUCCGUGCUACAGGUACUUUGAGAAUCUUCCGCAGGUUUGUCCCAAUUUACCCCAGGAUCCCAAUUUACCCCAUGUCAUGGUACCACGUUUGCUUCUGUGAACGUGUUUGACGUUUCGAGCGAGCUGUCACUGUCACAAGUGUCAAAACAGAAAAGUCAUAAAAAUAAACGCGGGAAUCCUAUUUAUUAUUUUAUGUGGCUCUGUGGAGGCGGCAAUGUGGUUUUUUUUACGUUUAUUAGUUCCUUGUGGUAUGUACAUGAGUGGUGUAUUUAUUACCAGAGUAAUGAACUUCAGGUAAGACGUGACAUGGAAAUAAAAAAGUUUUUAAUCGCAAAAGUAAAUUUUGAUUUUAUUUAGUUACUGACAAAAAAAGCAGAUUGUCCGCCAUAAGUUGAUUCGUGGAAGUUUUAAUUUUUAUUCUAAAUUUAUGAAUUGUAAAAAAUAUUUACAUCUAUAUGCAUAGACGAGAAAGCAAUACUAGAAAUUACUAUAUUACAGUAGUGGCGACGCGAUUAUGUCGCUUACAAAUGAAUUAUUGUAUAGAUAUAAACGCGUUUAUUUUAGUAAUAAUUACGAAAACGAGUGCCUAUUGUUUCCUCUAAAAAUAUAUAUAUAUACUAUAUAUGAAAAAUAAAAUCGUAUAUGUAGAUUAUAUUAUGUAUAUAAUUAGAGUUCGUUAUAAGGAAUUUAAUUUAAAUUAAAAUUUAAAAAAAAAAUACAAUCACGUAGUCAAUUUUGAUUGUUGUCAAAUUACUAAUUUAAAAUUGCGAUCAAAUUAACUGUUUGGACAAAUUAUUGGAAAUAUCCGUAUUUUUCAUAUUUUAAUUCAAGAUGGUAGCGUACCGUCUUCGUCUACUGCGCAGUUACCUUGCGUUCCUAUUUGAAGGAAUAUGUCUGUAGUCGUCGCGCACUUGAGACAUCGACCUCAAGUCUCAAGACGGCGGCAUUCACGUUAAAAUAUCCACGGGUUCCGGUGACAACUUACAGCCUAGUGGGUCGUGAUCAUUGAGACUAACAAUAGAAACGUUCUAGAUAGGAUGGUAGUAAACGAGAUGAUGGGGGCAUCUCAAACAAUUCCUCAAAGCACUCCCCAUAUACGAUGGUGGUAAAUCUGAUGGUGAGAUAUUCACAUCAACGUAUACGUCAGCAACGCCGAAGGAAACUUCUAGAUACUUUUUGGCUCCUGCCAAGUAAGUACUCUGUGACAUAAGUGUGCCUAGUGCGAGUUUCUUAACGUUCUCGAUAGCGUAAAAGUUAACCCAAUUUUGUAUGCAGUUGAAACAGCGCCCCUAGCGACAAACGUACGCAAACGAUCCCGUUCCAUACAAAUAUGAGCUAACUUUUACGCUAUCGAGAACGUAAAAAACUCGCACUAAGCACACCUAUUAGUCAAUGUCACUAGUUUUAUUUCCGUCCUUGUUUAAUCUUGAGAUUUCUUAAAGUAUUUAAAAAAAAGAAACCUUUAUUUAAUCGUAUUCGCUUUAAGGUCGUCUGUCGAUGAGUAUUUUAAUAUGAAAUUAGAAAAACAAUUUAUGGUCUUCGCAAUUGAAAAACAAAAAAAGGCAUUUGGUAAUUUUUUUUUUUUAACAUACCUUAAUUAAGUCAUACGGUGUAAUAAUGCUUCUCUGUCAACUAUGUUAACAUAAUUGGUGUGAAUAAAGGUUUGUCGGCUCAAUUGCGAAUAGUGAUAGGGCAAACUGAAAAAGAUUUAAAAAAAUUAAUUAAUUGUUGUUCAAUGUAUUUAAUAUUUUUGCACAUAAAUUUAAAUUUUGCAUCACUUUACGAACUUAUACACAUAAUCUGAUGUGAUAGUAAUAGUAUUUUAUAAACAAAAAUAUUGCAACGACUCUUUUAAUGAGAAAAUCGUUUUUUCAUGACAAACGCUCGAACUGUCACAUCUGACAGCUGUCAAGUGUACGUGUCGGACCGGGCUCAAACAUCCGGUUACCUGAUUAAUGUUUGAUAUUGAAAAAUUACUGAAUUUUAAAUAUAAUCGAAACAUUGUACGUGCGUAUUUGCAGAACUUCGGAACGGAAAAGAAAAUAACAAUUAAUUAUUAUUACUCAGUGCCAUGUCAAAACAUCAAACGUGGAAUAACGUAUAUUCAAAUUUUCACCUUAUACGAACUAUAGAGGGUAGAGAAUACCGUCUUGUUUAUGGGAUAAGUUGAAAAAGUUUUCACCCGUAAUGAGCAAGUUCGAAGGCUCACCGAAAUAGGGCUAGUGUAGGAAGUGGAAAUGAUAUGAAUAUAGCAGUUAAAACAGAGUGAAGGGUGUUGGAUUGAAGUGAAGUGUUCAAAUCUUUCCAUUUGCUACUAUGGCGCCAUCUUUAUUGACUCCCUUUCAGCGGACGCUUUUUACUACACUGUUUUUUUAAGGGAUUUUAUGACCUGGUAACUAAGACCUUUAAGUCAUGUCUUAUUUUAAUUUAUAUUCAUAUUUUUAUGAAAAAUGUUAUUAUGGAGUGAAAUGAAAUGAAGAUGAUUAAUUUGAGAUAUUAAUCAACUGGGAUGAAAUGAAAUGAAAUGAGAUGAGAUGAUAUGGGAUGAAACAUAAUCUCAGUAAAAUGGUGGUCAUUUACUAAGAUUUUUUCAGUGGACUUUUUGGAGGAUCCCGAGAUGUUACGUCCAGCGGCUUUGUUUCAUUUUCCCACAUUUGUACACUUUCACAGAUAUUAAACAGUUAAUAAACCACAAUUAUUAGACAUUUAAACCUGAAGAAACACUAAAUAGACAAAAUAAAACAAAUCACACAACUUCACUCCUCCCGUUCCUGCCAAAAAGUCCAUAGUCUGAACGAAUACAGACUUCAAAAUAUUAUGGCAAAUGGAACGGUGUGUAGGGACCACAAAUGUCCCCACAGCAACUAAUAAUUACAUGUAUGUGUUAGCGGUAAUUAUAUUGCAACAAUGCUACUUCAGUCUCGGGAUUGUCGGGCUGUCGAUAGCCUCGUUGCAAUGUAAUCCCAAUAUACGUUAGUCACUUAACUGAAAACGUGUCUUAUUAAUUAGAUAUGUGUCGUUCGUUCAAUUUUAAAGAUUCAGAUCAAUACUGACCUGUUGACAAAAUGAUCCGGUUCGUACGACCCGUUCAGUCGAACGUUUAAAGAAACUGUUAUAGUUCGAUUGUUUACGUGAGAUCAAAACAAUUCAAAUGCGUUAUGCGUCAUUAUGCGACAACGAACGACUAACCGAGACGGGCGCGGGUCGAGACCCGGCAACCCGAAAUGACCAGAAUGACUGUAUGGUUCUUUUCUUCUGAUUCGUAGGUUUUGUUAAGCGAGUCGAUCUAGUGAACGACUCAUAUUUUUUGAAGUGACCCUAUCGUUCGCGCGGAAUUUGAGACACGGGUCGUUUGAUUCGUUCGUUCGCGAACGACACUUAUCUAUUAUUAAUCCUUGCCCGAUAUAGAGACUAAACAGGUGUAUAGAGUUCUUUUUAUUAUUAUUGAGUUAAUAUUUGAAGUGAUAGUUUGUAUAAAAUAUUAAUGAGUGAAUAACAGCCUGCGAUGCAAAUGUACGUCGGAUUUCAUAGCGGAUCGGUCAGUGUGCUUAGUGCAAGUUUUUUAACGUUCUCGAUAGCGUAAAAGUUAACCCAAUUUUGUAUGCAGUUGGAACAGCGCCCCUAGCGGCAAACGUACGCAAACGAUCCCGUUCCAUACAAAUAUGAGCUAACUUUAACGCUAUCGAGAACGUUAAAAAGCUCGCACUAAGCACACAGAUGUCGAUGGUCGCCCCACUCUCUGUUACUCCCAGUUCACAGGUAGUAAAAACUAAAAUUGUAACGUACAUACAACAUAUAUCAACUUGUCUCGCUAGCCUGCUCAGUGCUAUCGCGCCUACCCCUCAAUCAAGACCCGAGCAGGUUCAAAGUCGAAGUCAUACAUUAUUGCCUUAAGCUGUGUGCUUAGUGUGAGUUUUUUAACGUUCUCGAUAGCGUAAAAGUUAACUCAAAUUUGUAUGGAGUUGGAACGUUUGCCUACGUUUGCCGCUAGGGGCGCUGUUCCAACUGCAUACAAAUUUUAGUUAACUCUUACCCUAUCGAUAACGUCAAAAACACUCGCACUCAGCACACUGUAUUUACUCUAGUUGUCUUGUUUGAAAUGUUUUUUUUUCAGCGUCCUAAAUAAACGAAUCGCAUUUUCGCUUAGAUUUAUAAAAUUAUUAUCGUAAUUUUUAUCCUUAAAGUAAAAUACAAAAAGAUAUUUUCGUAUUCAGCACAUAAAUGUAAAUAAACUAGUUUUUAAGGUGUACAAUAGAAUGCUAAAUUAUUUAGGGAAUAUAAACGAAAUUUAAUUACGCAUCCAUUAAAUGGUGAAGUUUAUAAUUAAAAAAAAAAAAAUUAUAAUAAUGGUAAAACGAAAAAUUCUUUAAACACGUACCAGAAUCCCAUUCAUCAUUAUUUUCUAUUUAUAUUUAAUUAGUAAUGUUUCGUUAAUGAUUUCCAUUGUUAAUUAGGAAUAUUACUUAAGUUAGCUAGCGAUGUGUAUUUCAAAUAUUAGUUUCUUUUGAAGUUUUGACGUUUCUUUUUUUUUUUGGUAUUGAAAGCGAAAGCAUUUUUUUUUUUUUAAUAUUUAUAUCAAGACGUACUAGCUACUCUUUUUACUUUUUUUUUUGCCAACCUAUUCUAGUAACCUCAAUCGGUUGUACUAGGUUCACCGGACGUGAUUGCGUAUAGUACUUUGACAGAUUUCAAUUUAAAAACACACGAUUUGGCGGUUUUUUUUUCAUUCGCUGUUCUAACAAGGAAGAUUUGCUGAUGAUUCCCACCCAUCUGAAUUUAUUUGCAUAACUUCGAAACUUCAAAGGAAGAUGAAAAUUUAUAUUCCAUUAUUAAAACGGUUUGGUGACAUUGUAACGUGUCGGCGAAGAAACGCGCCGAGCAUCCAUCACCAGGACUGUGUAAAGAUUCUAAAAAUUAAAAAUAAUUAUGCAAAAUUA